AAGUGAGCGUACUUCCGCCUCGGGGAAACUCCUUCUUCUCGGCUCGGACUGGGCUUGACAGGCGCGUUCCCGGCAAGUGGCGGCUAGCUCCCUCUCGCUCCGCUCCGGCCGACCUCUUGUGCCGCCGCCUUCCCGUAGCUCCGGUCUCUGAAGCCGCCCCUUCCCCAUGUGCCAGGGCAGGUGUUGUGGAAGCGCAGCCCCGCUGGCCAGUCCCCCAACAUGUCCGAACUGACUCAGGAGCUGAUGGAGCUUGUAUGGGGCACCCAGAGCAGCCCCGGGCUCUCCGACACCAUCUUCUGCCGCUGGACGCAAGGGUUUGUGUUUAGUGAAUCAGAGGGAUCUGCAUUAGAACAGUUUGAAGGUGGACCCUGUGCUGUUAUUGCACCUGUUCAGGCGUUUCUUUUGAAGAAGCUCCUGUUUUCUUCUGAGAAGUCAUCUUGGAGGGAUUGCCCAGAGGAAGAGCAGAAGGAACUCCUUUGUCAUACCUUAUGUGAUAUUUUAGAAAGUGCUUGUUGUGACAACACUGGAUCGUACUGCUUGGUUUCUUGGUUAAGAGGAAAGACAGCUGAAGAAACUGCUGGUAUUUCUGGGAGUCCUGCAAAAUCUAGUUGCCAAGUGGGACAUUCUUCUGCCUUGGCUGUCGAAGAGCUUGGCUUUGAGCGAUUUCAUGCAUUAAUUCAAAAAAGAUGUUUCAGAAGUUUGUCAGAAUUAAGAGAUGCUGUCUUGGAUCAGUAUUCAAUGUGGGGAAACAAAUUUGGAGUAUUGCUUUUCCUAUAUUCCGUGUUACUGACAAAGGGUAUUGAAAACAUAAAAAAUGAAAUUGAAGAUUCAAGUGAACCUUUGAUAGAUCCUGUGUAUGGACAUGGCAGCCAAAGUUUAAUCAAUCUGCUUCUGACCGGACAUGCUGUUUCUAAUGUGUGGGAUGGUGAUAGAGAGUGCUCAGGAAUGAAACUUCUUGGUAUACAUGAACAAGCAGCUGUAGGAUUUUUAACACUAAUGGAAGCUUUAAGAUAUUGCAAGGUUGGUUCUAACUUGAAAUCUCCAAAAUUCCCUAUUUGGAUUGUUGGCAGCGAAACUCACCUCACCGUAUUUUUUGCCAAGGAUAUGGCUUUAGUUGCCCCUGAGGCUCCUUCAGAACAAGCCAGGAGAGUUUUUCAAACCUAUGAUCCAGAAGUCAGUGUCAAACUGAAAAAGUACCACCAUCUGGACAAGCUCUUCAAAAAAGACUUUUCACCUCAAAGCUUAAAUAUCCUGAGUUGGGACUCACCCAGUAGAGUGCACAAGGGCCCAGGUUCCCGGAUUCACCUGCAGGAAGGAAAGUUCUUGAGUGGCAGAACUGUUGUCUCUCCUCUUCUUCUAUCAGAAGGGAAGGAAACUGUAAGUUUUGAUGGAGGAAUACCACUCUUUGUCAUGUUUGUUAUUUUUGAUCAUCCAACCAGUCAGCCCUUAGAGUUUGGGGUUCUGAUACAAAGCUGCCUGCCAUUACAGAAACAGAAGAGCACUGCAGCCAUGCCCAUAGGCACAGUCUUGUCCAGAUUAAUGUUUCUAUCUGCUGGUUGCUUGCUAAAUACUUGGGUGCUGAGGUUUUAGCUACAGUGUAACUAAGCAAAAUAAAGUUUGCUUUUUCUUCUAAAUCUAAAACUUGAGCUUGAUACUGCUAAAAAUGCUUCUCUCUCCCCCUACCCCCAAUUACAAGUAGCUUCACAAAUUUUAUUUACUUUGGAUAGAGGAGAAGGGGAAAUAGAGAAGUGGGGGUGGGGGAAACAGCACCAGUAGCAGGCAGUGCUUCACCACUUGAGUCUUCCCCUUAUGCACUGUAGCUAGUCCCAGAAAACUGGUCUUUUAUUCAAGGCCAAUCCAUUUUAUGCAGUUUAAAACAGAGAAAGAAAAAAAAAAACUUUGAUAGGCUAAAAUUUCUUUAUUGUGAAAGACUUAAGUAUCUAAGCCUUGAAAAGGAUAUUGUGCUAAAAGUUGAUUUAAAACUGAGACAGUCUUCAGGAAUGAGUAAAUGGACAGAAACUCAGGCUCUGUACAUUUAAGGAAAUAAAUAGCUUGCUUAUUUGGAACAACGGAUUUCAAACAGCCCCACAGGCUGUGUGUGUGUGUGUGUGUGUGUGUGUGUGUGUGUGUGUGUGUGUGUGUGUGUGUGUGUGUAUGUGUGUGAUGUCCUAUUGCAUCAUCAGAAUUUGGGCCAUUAAUUAAUGCUAUUCUUCACUGAGCCAAAGAAAAGGAAUUAUCUUCCAUAAACUGGCCUUCAUCAAAAUUUAAUUGUAUUCUGCAUUUUGGCUAUCUAAACUUUGGGUCCUUUACAGCAUCCUCUAAAAAGUUAACAUCAAAGGGUCACAGUGUUUAUUUGAAAGUGACGAUUGUUUAGUAAAUCGGGUAUGUAUUAAGUAGGAAAAACUUUUUACUAUUUUAUUUGUAAGCCUGCUUAAAGAGUCAUUAGCUUUUGAGUUCACAGGUGGAAGUUAGGUAGUUGAUUUUUAUUAGAAACUAACCUUGCAAAGCUUUACCUAACUGAUCAUGAAUAUUAAUGAGCAUGCAUAGUCUAAGGAUAAUGGGCAUUGUGCCUAAAAUAACUUUGUGUAGUCUCUUUUUUGGGGGGGGUUCUUUAACUAGAAUCUGAUUAGACAUAAUAGCAUUUCUUAAAGUAAAUUUCGUUAUUUUCCCCUAGAUAAUGGAUUCAUACCUGAUUCACUUCUAGAAGAUGUGAUGAAAGCAUUGGAUCUUGUUUCAGAUCCUGAAUACAUAAAUCUCAUGAAGAAUAAACUAGAUCCAGAAGGAUUAGGGAUCAUAUUAUUGGGUCCAUUUCUUGAAGAAUUU